rnacentral:rRNA from 1 species
GACAGAGGGUGCAAACGUUGUUCGGAAUUACUGGGCGUAAAGCGAGUGUAGGCGGUUCGAUAAGUCGGAUGUGAAAGCCCCGGGCUCAACCCGGUAAGUGCACUCGAUACUGUCGAGCUAGAGUAUCGGAGAGGUUGGUGGAAUUCUCGGUGUAGAGGUGAAAUUCGUAGAUAUCAAGAGGAACACCUGAGGUGAAGACGGGUUGCUGGGCCAACACUGACGCUGAGGCGCGAAAGCCAGGGGAGCAAACGGG